GCAGCAGUGGAAAAAAACGAAAACGUCUACGCGUAUGGAAAGAAUUUAGUUGCCCUUUUCAUUUAUUAUUUAUUUAUUUGCUUUAAGUGCAUUUUAAAUUAAACAAAUUGGUAUGAAUUUGAAACAUUUUAGUGUAAUGCAGUGCAAUGAAUUUAAGUGAAAUGGUGCAAAUGUAGCGCUAAUAUUUUAGAGCAAUUUUUACUUGGAGUUUUCUUGCGUCGCGUACUCCGUUUCGUUCGUUUGAUUGCAGUAGCAGCAAAGCAGAAGCGCAGCGGAGACAGCGACAACUUGUGCUCGAGAAAAAAAAGAGACAAUUUUUGUAUAACUCCGCCAAGAUAUCAACUAAAAUAUGCAAUUGAACAACGUGCUUCAAGUAGACGGUCGACGAUCAAUCUGAUUGCUGGCUACUUAAUGCCGCCAUACAAAGUAAAAAAA